CGAAACCGCGAAUGGCUCAUUAAAUCAGUUAUGGUUCACUAGAUCGUACAGUUUACAUGGAUAACUGUGGUAAUUCUAGAGCUAAUACAUGCAACCAGUCCGUUCCCUCGUGGAGCGGACGCAGUUAUUUGCCCAAGACCAAUCCGGCCCUCGGGUCGGUCAAUUGGUGACUCUGAAUAACCGAAGCGGAGCGCAUGAUCUCGUAUCGGCGCCAGAUCUUUCAAGUGUCUGACUUAUCAGCUUGUUGUUAGGUUAUGUUCCUAACAAGGCUUUUACGGGUAACGGAGUGUCAGGGCCCGACACCGGAGAGGGAGCCUGAGAAACGGCUACCACAUCCAAGGAAGGCAGCAGGCGCGCAAAUUACCCACUCCCGGCACGGGGAGGUAGUGACGAAAAAUAACG
rnacentral:rRNA from 1 species